GGUUUUCCUCCCCCUCUCUCUCGCUCUUUAUCUCAAUCUCUCUCAGUCCUCUCUCUCGCUCUCUCUUUCUCUCUCGUGCUCUCUCUCUCUCUCACAGUUGUUCUCACGCUCUCCUUGCUCUCUAUCUCAAUCUAUCUCACACACAGUCGCACAUCUCAAUCUCUCGCUCUCUAUCUCAGUCACACAUCGGCGGCAUCUGAUUCAGAACUUGUCUUACAAUAAUUUGAGUGGCCUUAUUCCCAAGUUUCCUGCACCAUCAUUCAAGAAAUUAUGGCUGAAGAUACUGUUGGUUCAACUGAUGCCUCAGUGCAAAGGAGGGGCAGGGGCCCCACAAGAGCUGUUGACAUAUGGAACUUGCCAACAGGAGAAAAAAUCCCCAUAACAUUAAAUGAAUUAGGCCAAGGAAUUGGAGAAAAUACAAAGAAAUUAGUUAAGUUUAUGGGGACAAUUGCAAGGAACAGCGAUCUCUGUCCUCUGGGUUUCAAGCAGUGGACUUCAUUUCCAACUCCACGGUAAAUUUGAGAUAGACAAUAAAGGUAGAAAGUGGGUAUUGUCCUCAAUUGGAAAAAAAUGGAAAGAUUACAAGUCAGAUUUGAAAGCCAUGUACUAUGAUCCAGUUACCCCUGAUGAGGCAAUGCGGAAUUGCCCAAAUAGGGUUCCUAGCGAUCAAUGGCAGAUUCUUGUCGCUUUUUGGAACUUUGAUGAGGGCAAGAAACGGAGUGCUAUAGCUAGAGGAAAUCGGUCCCAGCAAAAAUACGCACACUCUGGGGGGGACCAAGAGUAAUGCAAGAAUGCAUCAUGAGAUGAUGCAGGAAACUGGUGAUGGGGCACAACCAAGUAAGGGAGUUGUGUGGAUUAAAACACAGAAGGAAAGAUGGGGCGCCUGUAGAUGCAGAAUCAAGAAGGGCAAUGGAACAAUUAGAGAACUUGGUAUCACAACGGGCCACGACUUCUGGUGGGUCCUCAGUCCUUAAUGACGAUGACUUUGAUCAAAUAUUUGGAGUGGAACGACAUGGGUACGUGCGAACGUAUGGGUUAGGCGUUACUCUUCCCACUCUGAGCAUGAGUUGUAGAAAUAGAGCAUCAAAGUCUACAUCAACAAGAGGAGGUUGUGGGCAUGAGGAUAGAGAUGAACGACUCAGGUGGAUAGAAGAUAACCUUGAAAGGGUGACUAGAGCAUGUAGUGAUGUACAACACCGGGUGGGAAGGGUAAUAUCCAUACUUCCUCAAAAUCUUAAAGACAUGCUAAACGAUGAUCAGGAUUUACCUUUAAGAGGUGCAGAGGUUCCUGAUUGAUCAUCAACAUGACUGUAGAGAUUUCUUCCUCCUCUGCCUCUUCCUCAUCUUCUUCAUUGAUCUUGUCUAUGGAACUGGGUCCAACUCAUUGAUGUUGUCAGACCAUUCAACAAAACUGAGCUAUAACCUCUUCUGUUAAGUGGAUUUUUAAGUAGUGUCUGAUAAUUAGAAAUCUCAUAUCUGUGUCUUGGAGAACUUCCAUUCUACAUUGAUGCAGUAGAAAAGAAUGUUGUAGAUACUCCUAAAAAGUCUCAACAAGUUAAUUCUAUAACUGUCUCCUCUAGAAGACCCGCGAUCCUUGCAGAUGGGGACCAACACAACCCAGAGUGCUGCCUCAGAAGUUGCUAUCUCUCCUCCUUCCAUUGUCUUAGGGUCCAGUGGUUUCUGGUUUCUUAUUUCAGGGUUCUUUCAUGGAUUAAUUUUGAUAUAUCCAUAUAAGAUUAUAACGUUAGCCCGAUAACAUCCAUUAUCUUUUUUUUUUUUUUUAGGAUUUUGGCUCCAACAACCCACUCAUAGAGGACCUGCUCCAUGCAGUCAAGAAUCUCUCAGCCGAGCUCUACAACAAAGAUGUCUACUUCCUCAUGGAGCUCAUUCAGAAUGCUGAAGAUAAUGAAUACUUGCCGGAUGUGGAUCCCUCUCUGGAAUUUGUAAUUACAUACAAGGAUAUCACAAGCACUGGUGCUUCAAUAUUUGAAUUCCUUCCAGUUGAGGCUUCACCUUACCAAGAGCUCAACGGAGUUGGAGAAUCUAUCAGAACCAAGAUGCAGGCUAAGGAAUUUGAAUUAUGACUCUUUCCUGCUUUCCAAGAUUACAUAUUGUCCUUUUUGGGAGUGGUAAAUUUGAAUUAUGAUUUAUGACUGGCAUGCAAAAUGCAUAGAAGGUUGCCAUUUGGUUCAACAAGCUCCAGAAAACAUUUAUCUGAAUCUUCUCUUCUUAAUUUUAGAAAAUUGGUGUUGUAGAUUUGCAUGCAGAACUCUUGCAAGUCUUCCUAUUUUGAAAUAUGUUAAUCAGUACAACAAUGUCCUGCUUUCAUUUAACUCUGCACAGACAACAAAACAGAGAAAUUUUUUGUCAGAUGAUGAACAUCAUGCAUGGGUAAACAAAUGGAACAUGGAACUAGGUUGCAGUAAGAUGUUUUUAUUGCCCAAUUCCAUUCAAAUGGCACUGAGAAAGUUUCCUAGAAGAGAUACUAUGAUUUCAUGGCUGUACCAUAUUGCAAGAAUACAAGAAAUCACUUUGUUUGAUUUUGCUCGACCUAUUUUCACUUAUCUCUUUGUAAGAAAUUUAUUACUAAACUAGAGACUCUCAAAUUUGUUUGUCCAUUCCUAUUGUUAAUUCAUUUGGGGAUGUAAUAAGGAUUAACGAAUAGCAAGCAGAUCCUUGUCCCAGCACAAGGUAGUAAAUGGUUGAACCUUUUGGGCUCGAAUCCAUGGCCAGGAAGUUAUGAUGAAUUGGGGGAGAAAUAUGGACAAAGUGCUGACUUUGCUGAUGAACAUACAUCAGUGGAGAUGCUUUAUGACUGUUAAAUCAUAUAUCAAAGCUACUGAUAUUCCUGAAUUCCUAGGUGAUGCUAUUCUAUGAUUUGAAUUUUUCAACUUGAAAAAGGAAGAAGUUUCCUUGCUUUUGGAAUGGAUCAGAUAUUUGAGGACUAAAUCUGUUGCGCUACCAAAGUUGUUCGAUGAAAGCAUAAAAACAGGGAGAUGGUUGAAAACUUGCUCAGGCUAUAAGUCGCAUAGUCAGUGUUUUCUAUCCAAUGGAGAAGAGAAGUCUAUUUUUGCUGGAAUGCAUGAUUUUCAUGUGAAGUUUCCUAUUCUUGAUGAAAGCUUUUAUGAUAAUAGGCUACGUUUAUACAUGAGUGAUCUAAAGUGCAUUGGUGUCCGGUCAGGGUUAGCAGAAGCAUGCCAACUUAUCAUUGAAUACCUUAUAUCUCUGUCGAAUUUACUAGUUUAACUAAGGAAGUUGCAAUUCCAUUGUUGAAAUUUAUUAGGUACUUGAAUGAGAGGGAUGUGCUUUCUGGUGACAUCACAGUGAAACUUAAACAAAAAGUAACAUUGAAGACUUCCCAAGGUUACAAAUCUGCUGAUCAAUCUAUUUUUAUGUUACAUGUUCCGGCAAGAGAUAUCCUUGCAUUCAUGGAUGUAAAAUACUAUGGGAGGAUGUUGUCAGUUACCGCACGGAGCUCAUGUUACUUGGAGUGGAAGUGGAUUUACAAAAGAUAUACAUAUUGCUGGUCAGCAACUUUAAUGUGCCUCUAGAUGCCGAAGUAACCACAUUAAGCAGAGAUAGGGCUGCUUCAUAUUCAAUUCUUUGGGAUUCUGAAUGGGAAACUCUCUCAGAUUGCUGAUCUUCCUUUAAUUGAUGAUUCUUACUAUGGGAAGAGCAUAUAUUCCCUAAAGAAUGAACUGAAAGAAUGGGUUUUGUGAUUGAUUUGGAUGAGUGGUUUGAUUUUGUAACAAAAGGUUUAAAAUUUCCCAAGGGACCUAGGAAGGUAACACCAAAUUAUGCAUUUCCGUUGCUCAAGUAUAUAAGGAGGAUACACACAGUCUAGGACACAAGUGGGUCUACUUCCAGAUUUAUAGAAAAGAAUUGCUUAGCUGACAAGAACCGGUUGAAAGCCAGCCAUGGAUACAAAUCUGCAAAAGGCUCAAUUCAAUUUGACUCAAAAUGGGGUUCACUAUCCCAAAUUUCUGAUCUUCCUCUCAUUGAUGAUGCUUUCUGUGGUAAGAAAAUGAGCUGAAGAUGAUGGGUGUUGCUGUCGAACUCAGUGAUGUAUCACACUUUGUGGUCAAUGGUCUCAAGUUUACAAAAGAUCUUGAAGCAAUAACAACAGAAAGUGUGCUUGCAUUACUAGAAUGUAUCUGCUUUCUACUAGUGGAAUCACCAAAAAGCCUGCCUGAUGAAUUUUGUCAGAAGAUUAGAAGUAAAUGGUUGAGGACAGUUAUGGGUUACAGAUGUCCAAAUGAAUGCCUUCUUUUUUAUUCUAGAUCCUUUUCCAUAAGCACACGAAGGAAAUAUUGGGCAUCUAUUCUAGAACUUGAAGAUUAACCAUAGAAGCCUGUUUUGUUAUCGGAGGAGCUUUUUAUGUUGGCUCUAUGAGUGAACCACUUGGUUCAGGCCUUCAUUGACCAAAGGGGUAUGGAUUCAUAAAUGGUCUGAAUUCAGAUUUCUAGUAACCAUAGAAGCUCUCAUGUACCGUUUGUCUAGGAAUUAUGUAGUGUUCGAGUAUUGAGUUCAUGCGAGAGGGCCAUAAGAAGCCUGCCUAAGGCCCAUAAAGCAUGUUCCUCCAAACCAAAGUAGUAGAAUGCAAUGGGCCAUUUCCUAUAAUUGUACAAUGAUGUUAUGAACUAAAUUGUAUUUGUGAUUCAAACAUUUUGAAUGGAGAAUGGUUGUUUAAA